rnacentral:rRNA from 1 species
AGCGAACGCUGGCGGCAGGCCUAACACAUGCAAGUCGAACGGCCGCACUGUAAGAUCUUGCUCUUAAGGGUGGCGACUGGCGGAUGGGUGAGGAAUACACCGGAAUCUACUUUUACGUGGGGGAUAACGUAGGGAAACUUCCGCUAAUACCGCAUACGACCUACGGGUGAAAGCAGGGGAACUUCGUACCUUGCGCGAUCGAAUGAGCAGAUGUCCGAGUAGCUAGGUGGCGGGGUUAAGGCCCACCCAGGCGACGAUGCGUAGCAGGUCUGAGAGGGUGAGCAGCCACACUGGAACUGAGACACGGUCCAGACCCCUACGAGAGGGAGCAGUGGGGAAUAUUGGACAAUGGGCGCGAGUCUGGUCCAGCCAUAGCGCGUGGGAGAAGAAGUCCUUCCGGUUGUAGAGCCCUUGUGUUGGGAGAGAAAGGCAGCAGCGUAAUACCCCGCUGUUCUGACGGUACCCAAAGAAUAAGCACCGGCUAACUUCGUG